rnacentral:rRNA from 1 species
UAGGGAAUUUUCGUCAAUGGGGGAACCCUGAACGGGCAAUGCCGCGUGUGUGAAGAAGGUCUUCGGAUCGUAAAGCACUGUUGUAAGUGAAGAAUGCCAUAUAGAGGAAAUGCUAUGUGGGUGACGGUAGCUUACCAGAAAGCCACGGCUAACUACGUGCCAGCAGCCGCGGUAAUACGUAGGUGGCAAGCGUUAUCCGGAAUCAUUGGGCGUAAAGGGUGCGUAGGUGGCACGAUAAGUCUGAAGUAAAAGGCAACAGCUCAACUGUUGUAUGCUUUGGAAACUGUCGAGCUAGAGUGCAGAAGAGGGCGAUGGAAUUCCAUGUGUAGCGGUAAAAUGCGUAGAUAUAUGGAGGAACACCAGUGGCGAAGGCGGUCGCCUGGUCUGUAACUGACACUGAUGCACGAAAGCGUGGGGAGCAAAUAGGAUUAGAUACC